rnacentral:rRNA from 1 species
GCCUAAACUUCAGCUUAAAUAGCACCACAAAACUAUUCUACCCAACCUAACCAAAACAUUUGUGUGAUCAGUAAAUGAGAUUAAACCUCACCCAACAGCCAAAAAGUACCGCAAGGGAACGAUGAAAUAGCAAUGAAACACUAAAGCAAAAAAAAGCAAAGAUCGAUCCUUGUACCUCUUGCAUCAUGGUCGAGCAAACCCCAAUUAAACAAAGAGAGUCCUUUAGCUUAAUUUCCCGAAACCAAGCGAGCUAUUUCUGGGCAGCAACUAAAUGAGCGAACCCGUCCCUGUAGCAAAAGGGUGGGAUGAUCCAAAAAUAGAGGUGACAAGCCAAUCGAGCUUGGUGAUAGCUGGUUACUCAACAAAAGAAUUUAAGUUCAACUCUAAGUCAAUUAAUGAGCUACUAAACUUAACUUACUAAACCGAACUUAGAGAAAAUCCACGGGGGUACAGCUCCAUGGAUCCGGGAUACAACCCGAACUGAGAGAAAACACCCUAUUGAUAAUUAGUUGGCUUCAAAGCAGCCACCAAAAACUGCGUUAUAGCUUAAAAUUAUUUAAUUUUACCAUUAAACUCUUUCUCCAAAUUUUACCAGAGUCAUUUUAUAUUUUUAUAAAAAUACUUAUGCUCGAACUAGUAAUACGAAAAAUUCUCUACGCAUAACCUUAAAUCAGAUUAGAAAAUCUACUGAUAAUUAACAGACUUUCCUACAUCCACUCACCUGGUUUUAUGUUUCACCCUCUGUUACCCCAACACAGGAAUGCAAAAAAGAAAGGAAAAAACCUGCAAAAGGAACUCGGCAACCAUUAGUCUCAACUGUUUACCAAAAACAUAGCCUUUAGCACUUCAAGUAUUAAAGGUCCUGCCUGCCCAGUGACACGCUUUUAAACGGCCGCGGUAUCCUAACCGUGCAAAGGUAGCAUAAUCACUUGUCCUCUAAAUAGGGACUAGAAUGAACGGCUAAAUGAAGACUACACUGUCUCUUGCAGGCCACCAAUGAAACUGAUCUCUUAGUCCAAAAGCUAAGAUACCACCACAAGACGAGAAGACCCUGUGGAGCUUAAAAUCAAAAUCAUUUAAUGACCGUUUGAUUUUUAGUUGGGGCGACUUCGGAGUAAAAAACACCCUCCGAUAAUAAUAUUUUUCAGAUAAACAUAUCACAAAAUACUGACCCAGUAAUUUAUAAAUUAACUGACUAAUGAACCAAGUUACCCCAGGGAUAACAGCGCUAUCCUCUUCUAGAGUCCUUAUCGACAAGAGGGCUUACGACCUCGAUGUUGGAUCAGGGCACCCAAAUAGUGCAACCGCUAUUAAUGGUUCGUUUGUUCAACGAUUAAAGCCCUACGUGAUCUGAGUUCAGACCGGAGAAAUCCAGGUCGGUUUCUAUCUGUGCCAGCACUCUUCCCAGUACGAAAGGAUCGGAGUAGUAAGGCCAAUGCCAGAAGUACGCCUUAUUUCCUAACCACUGAUAAACUAAAAUGGAAUUGAUCCUACCCCAUGACCUUAAACUUAGGU